rnacentral:lncRNA from 10 species
GUUUUGAGCUGUCUGAGAACAUGACAGCCCUGGAACAGGUCCAGUAGCAUCCUACUAAUGUGUCAAUGCUUUUAUUUUGUUAUGCUUUCUGUGGCUUUUCAUGCCCCACCCUUUUUAAGAAACCACUCCUUCUGCACACCUCCCUAAAUAUGGGUAAGUUCAUACCCUAUAAUAAUCUCCUGUGUAAAGUCACUGACCCAUUUCCACUGCUGCUCUCUCAUCUGCUGCUCUGAAGCCUAAACCAUGGUGCCCAGAAUCUUCGAUGCAACUCAUGAGAAGCUGGAGGACCUGGAGAAGCUGGCAACUCAAAAAGGCCAAAGGGUGCAGACAAUAAAAGCCCCAGACAAGCGUAUAGAACCACACGCCGUCUUUUUACUUGCCGCCCAGGGCGGCUCAUGGAGGAGACAGGGACUCUCCCCAGGUCGAAGGCCCAAGGCCUGGAUGAUGGGGUGGGGCCCAGGAUGGGUGCCAGGGGUCUGGAGGACAUGAGUGGAUGAAGGCCCCGGGCUUCAGCUUCCUCUUGGUGGAAUGUGGGUGAUGAGGUCCGACCAUGCAGCGCUGCUGUGAGGACCGGAUGAGAGGAUCCCUGGGAGGUGGCCGGUGACUUGGUACCGUCACCUCAGUGACUGUUCUUCGUCCUCAUGGAUGUUCAGAGAAGACUUGCCCACUCUCUCCACCAGAUACAACCAAUAAAACCUCUGAAAAUUUCAGCCGAACUUUAUAGCACUUUCAUUCUUUUCCAAUUUAUUUGACGCUAUUUAAAUCAGACCUAGUGAUUCUGGGAUGCCUGAGAUUCCUGUCCCUUAGAAGGGACGUCAGGUGCCUUCUGUGCGCACACGUGGCAUUUGGGCGGGAACCCAGAGCCCCGACUCUGGGCUUGUUGGACUGAGAUCCAAG